AUUCGGGCGAUGACAGGGGCCAGUAGUUCUUCUAUCCCUGUUUUCAGAGAGCUGAUGGCCGGUGCGAAUCAGCACAAAUAGAAGAAUGAAUUACCCCCUGGAGCAUUCACUGUGAACAUGGAAGUAGCAGUGGACGGGAAAAACCGUUAUCUUUCAAAGUGGAGGAGUUUUCCUCAAGUUGGGUGGUACCGCGGAUUUUAUUCGUCCCUUCG
rnacentral:ncRNA from 1 species